AUUGGCAGAUCUCCAUUUUUUAUUUUACUUUAAGUGAAUAUACUGUUCCAGAUUAUCUUUUAAUAGAUUAUAGCGGGCCUAACUCAUCUUUAUAAAACCAAUUUAUAAGGUAAUGAUUGCCACAAUAAUAAACACUUAUUCAACCCUUAUCUCAUCUAAUGUAUGACUCUUAACAAACCCAUCUCACGCACAAAACUCUUGAGAUUGAUGCGUGGUAUAAAUAGUAAGUGGCCCGAUUGAUAGGCUCUGACACCAUUUAAGAUUAUAUAGAGCCUAACUCAUCCUUACAAAACCGGUUUAUAUGGUGAGGAUUGCUCCAUAUAUAAAGUGUAUGACUCUUAACAUGCCUGAAAGUCUUACAAUAAUUGUUUUUGUUGCUGCUUCAAAUCUAGGAGUUUUAGUUAUUAUCUGCACAGGUGGAAUGGUGAAUGAUUGAAUGGGAUAGAGAUAGCAUUGGAUAGGAUGUAAAAUAUUUUUCAUAUGCUCCCUCCAUCCCACAAUGAGUGACCGAUUUGUAAAAAAAAGUGUCUCAAAAUGAACGAUCAAUUUUAAUUUACAAUGCAAAUUAAUUUCUUUCUUCCAGUUAUACCUUUUAAUUAUUACUACUUUCAUCACUCCUAAUACUUGAUAAUGGACACUUUGGUAAAAAUAUUGUUCUCUCUCUUUCAUUUAUACACUUUUUCUUAAUAUAUUUAAAAUAAUCAACUGAGUCACUCAUUAUGGGACAGAGAGAAUACAUUAUGGGACAGAGGGAAUAAUAUCUCGUAUGUUGAUAAUAUACGUCCACCUCAUUUGUAUUGGCUGUCAGGAACUAUUGUUAAUGAUAUUUAUGAUAACAGUAGGAAGCAGAGGAUAUUUUUAUUGAUAAACAAACAAUCUAUAAAUAGGCUAAUACAUAAUUGAAAGCAACAUGAAAAUAGACACUAUCCCACGUUCAAAAUAAGGCAAACUGAAACAAACUUACUGACACUCCUAAAGACUACGACAACCCAAAACGUGCAAAUUAUAAAAUUUCCUCUACAAUUUAAUGUCCCCUAUCCUAUAAUCAUCUUGGAUAUGCUAGUACUUGACCCCUAUUAAUUAAUUGCCAGCAUAGUUGUUUUUUUGGGAAUGGUUAAGAUAUGGCAGUUAGAGAACUUGAAUUGGAUCUGAAUAUUUCCAAGGAAUUGUACAAAUAUAUACACAGGAGAAACAGUGCCAGAGAUCCCUGAAUUUUGGGAUAAAAUCAAAUAACGUAAGCUUUCUAUAGUGACUGAAAGUCUUAUAAUACGAAAUCGUCAAUUAACUUAGGCAAUGGAAAUUAUUAAACAGAUAUUUCAUGCUAUUUGACACCUUAUCGAUGGAAAUUAUCCAUAUUCUUUCUAAUAAAAUACCAGGUUUCUGAUGGAGCUGUUCAUGGUAUGGUUGACAGAGAAAACCGAAUCGAAACAAAACAUAGUAAAAAUUUAUUCGAAUUGAACCGAACCAUUUCAAUUUACUCAAAACCGAACUGAACCAUAAUCAUUGGUUUGGUAUACCGUUUUGAAAUUCCGAACCGUACCGGAUCGUUAAACUAUUUUAAAAAAAAUUUAUAAAAAAAAUUAAAACAUGUUUUUAGUAUUUUUCAUUUCCAGUUUCGGUUCGGUUACAGUUUCAGUUUGGUUCGGUUUCAGUUCUAAAACUGUUUGUGUAAUAUGGUUUGAUUCACUGAUCAAACAUAACGGUUCGGUUAUUUUAAUUUCAAUUCGGUUCGAUCCGGCGGUUCGGUUCAGUUCAUGGUUUUUCUGAACAACCCUGAUUUCUGAUAGAAACUGACAGUACCCAACAGAAAAUAAUUGAACAAUACUGAUACAUCAUUGCUAAUAAUUUUGGAGAAUGAUUCAAAUCCAGAACAUUACUGUUGGAAAUUCCGUCUUCAUUGUGGUCAGCCCUAGUCGCCUAGUUGCGGCAUUUGGGUUGCAUUCCUUGAAGUCUCCGUCACCUUCAUUGUGUUAGGUGUGAAGGGGUAGAUUUAGUUCCAAUUUGUUUAGAGAUAUGACAUGUGUCGUGUUAUGACUUGUGCCGUGUUUAUAAGUGGGGCAAUCUUCACUUUAUAAGUCGUAUUGUAGGAAUGAGUUAGCUCCAACCCACAUUUUUCUUGUUAAUCAGGAAAUAAUCUUUACAUUUAUUGUGAAUAAUUUGCUUUCAUAGAAUAGGAAAUUAGUCAUUACGAAUUGUAAUUAGUCAUUAUGAAUUGUAAUUACCUGUAAUUACUGACACUAUUAUAUAUAGUAUCAAAUGCAAUGAGAAAGGCAUCAAGCCAAUUUUCCUCACAUGAUAUCAUAAGGGUUCGGUCUAACCUGUGAAUCCUUGUUCUCUUGGCUAAAUAGCGACACCCAACUGGGUCACUCUUGAAAUCGUGUUUCUCAUACGUAUUUCUGGAAAUCGUGUUUCUCAAUUGAAAGCUUUCAGUUGCCAUCUCAUGAUUUCUUCAUUGUUGCUAUUUCGUGAUUUUGAUUCCGUGUUUAUCGCAAGUUGUUUCGGUGAUCAUUGAUCGUUCGGUGGUGCUAGCAUAUUGUGAUUUGCGACUCUGUUUCGUAUUCUCGGCGAUUCUGCUCGGUGAUCGUUGUUCUUGGCGAUUCUGCUCGAUGAUUGUGGUUUCAUUGUUGGAUUGUUGGUGUAUCUUGAUCGUGCUUUCAUUGUCGGUGUUUCUCGAUCAUGGGUGUUUCUCGACUGUGGUUUAGCUACUGCGUGGGUUUACCGGUUUGCUUACCAUUCUUUUUUUUACUAUUUAUUUAAUUGUUAUUAUUAAAUAAAUAAAUAAAAAGCAGAAAUAAAGGGGUUUACUGGUUUGCUUACCUAGGAUUUGGAUUUAUCUUGUUAUUUAAAAUAAAAAGGGGUUAUUUUAUCAUGGCUAUGAAGAAUGACAAAAAUUAUUUUUGUGUCCGUUUUACCGGUAAGAAUUAUCCAAUUUGGGAAUUUCAGUUUAAAAAUUAUGUGAAGGGAAAGGGAUUAUGGAGUCACCUAGUGUCUCUAAGGCACCUACAGAAAAGGUUGCGUUAGAUGCGUAGGAAACUAAAGAUGCUCAAAUAAUCACUUGGAUCCUCAGCACUAUUGAUUCUCAAAUGGUCAAUAAUUUGCGUUCAUUUUCAACUGUUAAAGAAAUGUGGAAUUAUUUGAAGCGUAUUUACAACCAAGACAAUGCCGCCAAACGUUUUUAGUUGGAGCUGGAAAUAGCUAAUUACAAACAAGGUACUUUAUCUGUUCAAGAAUAUUAUUCUGGUAUUGUGAAUCUGUGGACAAAACACUCUUCUCUUUUACAUGCCGAUGUUCCCAAGAAUUCUCUCGCGGCUAUUCAAGAGGUUUACAACACAAAUAGCCGAGAUCAAUUUCUUAUGAAGCUUCGCCUAGAAUUUGAAGUUGUCAGAGGUGCUUUGCUGAAUAGGAACCCCGUUCCUUCUUUAGAUACAUAUGUUGGAGAGCUUCUGAGGGAUGAACAACGUCUUAUUACUCAAGGAGCCAUGUCUAAUGAAGUUGUUAUUUCCGAGUCUAUGACGGUUGUAUUUGCUGCUCAAAGUAAAGCAGGGACAUAUUAUCUCUGAGUGCCCCCACACAUCCUCCACGACCAACACAACGUUCGGUGCAAGCAUUCCAUGCAACUACAAAUUAUGCAGUUGGUCCUUCCAAUGGCGGCACAUCAAACGGAGGUGCUAUACAGCCUGAACUAAUUCAACAAAUGGUACUUUCUGCUCUUUCGGACUUGGGAAUUCAGGGUAAGUCUUCUAAUAUUUCUCGCCCAUGGUUUCUUGAUUCUGGUGCAUCCAAUCACAUGACGGGUUCCUCUGAAUAUUUGCACAAUUUACAAUCUUAUCAUGGUAAUCAAAAAAUUCAAAUAGUUGAUGGUAAUACUUUAUCUAUCACUGAUGUUCGCGACAUAAACUCUGACUUUCGGGAUGUUCUUGUAUCACCUGGACUGGCUUCCAAUUUAUUGUCUAUUGGUCAAUUGGUAGAUAAAAAUUAUGAUGUUAACUUUUCUAGUACUGGUUGUCUUGUGCAGGAGCAGGUGUCGGGGAAAGUGAUCGCGAAGGGGCCUAAAGUGGAAAGAUUGUUUCCAAUACAAUUUAAUUCUAAUCAUUUAUCUCUUGCGUGUAAUAACGUUUUGAAUUCUUAUGAGGAUUGACAUAGAAAAUUGAGUCAUCCAAACUCUUUUAGUUUAACUUUUGUCUCAUUUAUGUAAAACUGGUUUGUUGGGAAAUAAAAAUGUUACUUCUAAUGCCUCUAUUUCAUGUUCUUUUUGCAAAUUGGCUAAAAGUAAAACACUUCCUUUUCCGUCUGAUGCUCAUCGUGCCUCUACUUGUUUUGAGAUGAUUCAUGGUGAUGUAUGGGGAAUGUCUCCCGUCGUUUCUCAUACUCACUAUAAAUAUUUUGUCACAUUUAUUGAUGAUUAUAGUCGUUUUACUUGGAUAUAUUUUCUCCGUUCUAAAUCUGAAGUGUUUUCUAUGUUUAAGAAAUUAUUGACAUAUGUUGAAACUCAAUUUCAAGCAAGUGUUAAAACAUUUCGCUCUGACUCUGGUGGUGAGUACAUGUCUCAUAAGUUUCAGGACUACCUUCAACAAAAAGGCAUCUUGUCUCAACGAUCUUGUCCCAAUACCCCCUCAACAAAAUGGUAUGGCAGAACGUAAGAAUCGUCAUUUGCUUGAUGUAACAUGCACCUUACUUCUCCAAGCUUCUGUACCAUCCCGAUUUUGGGUGGAGGCUCUUUCCACAAUCGUCUUCUUGAUCAAUCGUCUUCCUUCUACGGUUAUUGAUCUUGAUUCCCCUUUCUUUCGUCUUUUUAAAAUUCAUCCUGAUUAUAGUACUUUACAUACUUUUGGGUGUGUGUGUUUUGUUCACUUACCUCCUUUUGAAAGGCAUAAGCUUGCACAGUCCGUUCAAUGUGCAUUUAUGGGAUAUAGUCACUCUCAUAAGGGAUUUGUGUGUUAUGAUGUCACUAACCAUCGUUUUCGCAUUUCUAGGAAUGUGGCAUUUUUUGAUAAUCAGUUUAUGUUUCCCUGUGUUUCUCCUGUCAUUAAUGAUAUUGUUACUCUUCCUAAAUUUUCUAUUUGCCUCAAUCUAUACAACGUUAUAAACCAGGUCAUGUAUAUGUUCGAAAACACAGGCAACAGGUUCUCACACCCCUUCCCGACGCUGAACCGCCACCUGAUCCUGUACUGGUUGAACCACGGCGUUCUGGUCGAAUAUCUCGCGCACCAGAUAGAUAUUCACCAGACAAGUAUGAUUCCUCACAUACUUCUCUGACUGUCACACUCUCUAGCAUAUUUAUUCCUACUUGUUACUCACAGGCUGUAAAAGAUGUCUGAUGGAUAAAAGCAAUGAAUGAAAAGCUUCAAGCUCUUCAAGAGAAUUUCACAUGGGAUAUUGUCUCUUGUCCUCCUGAAGUUAAACCUAUAGGUUGCAAAUGGGUGUAUUCUGUGAAAUUGAAUUCGGAUGGGUCCCUCAACCGUUACAAGACUCGUUUGGUUGCUUUAGGAAAUAAGCAGGAAUAUGGAAUUGAUUAGAUGAGACAUUUGCACCGGUUGUCAAAAUGACAACUGUUCGCACGAUCAUCUCUAUAGCUACUUCUAGUGGGUGGUCUCUUCAUCAAAUGGAUGUGAAGAAUGCUUUUCUUCAUGGUGACCUGACAGAAGAUAUUUAUAUGACUCCACCUCAAGGCUUAUUCUCUUCAUCUAAAGGCGUGUGCAAGCUCAAACGCUCCUUAUAUAGUUUGAAUCAGGCACCUCGAGCAUGGCACGAGAAAUUCCGCUCCACUCUACUUGGAUUCUCCUUUACUCAAAGUCAGUAUGAUUCCUCUUUAUUUAUUCAUAGUACAUCUGUGGGUAUUGUUUUGCUUCUUUUGUAUGUUGAUGAUAUGGUUAUUACUGGUUCUGAUCAUGCUUCCAUUCAGCGACUUAAGCAACAGUUACAUGCCUCAUUUCACAUGAAAGAUUUGGGUAAUCUACAUUAUUUUCUUGGUCUUGAGGUUCAUUAUACAUCCAAGGGCAUCUUUCUCCAUCAACACACGUAUGUUAUAGAUUUGAUUUCUAUGGCCGGUCUCGAAUCGGCUAAUCCGGUAGAUACUCCUCUUGAGAUUAAUGUUAAAUAUUAUCGUGAUGAUGGUGAUCUUUUGCCUGAUCCCUUAUUGUAUCGACAACUUGUGGGUAGCCUCCACUACUUGACUAUUACUCGCCCUGACAUAUUUUUUGCUGUUCAAGAAGUCAAUUCAUGCAUUCUCCUCGCCAUCUUCAGUUGACUGCGGUUCGUCGUAUAAUUCGCUACUUAAAGGGAACCUCUCACCGCAGGUUAUUCUUUUCCGUUGGAAUUUCUCUUCAGUUGAGUGCUUAUAGUGAUGCUGAUUGGGCAGGGUGUUCUGAUACUCGUUGGUCUGUUACUGGUUGGUGCAUGUUUCUUGGUUCUUCAUUGAUCUCUUGGAGAAGUAAGAAGCAAGCAAGAGUUCUAAAUCUUCUACUGAAUUAGAGUAUCGUGCCAUGUCUGCUGCUUGUUCAAAAAUACUUUGGCUUCGUGGGCUUUUGGCUGAACUUGGAUUUCCCCAAACAGAGCCAACUUCACUUUAUGCUGACAAUACAAGUGUCAUUCAAAUUGUUGCAAAUUCUAUUUUUCAUGAACGCGCCAAACAUAUAGAAGUUGAUUGUCAUUCAAUACGCGACGCCUACGAUGAUCGAAUAAUAUCACUUCCUCACAUCAGUACUUAGUUGCAGGUUGCAGAUAUUCUUACCAAGGCUGUUCCACGCCCACGACAUCAGUUUAUUGUAAAUAAUUUACUUUCAUAGAAUAGGAAAUUAGUCAUUACGAGUUGUAAUUAGUCAUUAUGAAUUGUAAUUACCUGUAAUUACUGACACUAUUAUAUAUAGUAUUAAAUGCAAUGAGAAAGGCAUCAAGCCAAUUUUCCUGACA